AGGAUUAACGCUGGCGGCGUGCCUAACACAUGCAAGUCGAACGAGGUAGCAAUACCUAGUGGCAGACGGGUGAGUAACGCGUGGUCAACCUACCGUUGAGUGGGGGAUAACUAAUCGAAAGGUUAGCUAAUACCGCAUACGUGUCCGAGGGGCAUCCCUUGGCCAUAAAAGGAGCAAUCCGCUCGAUGACGGGACCGCGUCCCAUUAGCUAGUUGGUGGGGUAACGGCCUACCAAGGCACCGAUGGGUAGCUGGUUUGAGAGAGCGACCAGCCACACUGGGACUGAGAAACGGCCCAGACUCCUACGGGAGGCAGCAGUGAGGAAUUUUCCGCAAUGGGCGAAAGCCUGACGGAGCGACGCCGCGUGUGGGAAGAAGGCCUUCGGGUCGUAAACCACUGUCGAAGGGACGAUAAUGACGGUACCCUUGGAGGAAGCCCGGCUAACUACGCGCCAGCAGCCGC
rnacentral:rRNA from 1 species